rnacentral:rRNA from 1 species
GACGAACGCUGGCGGCGUGCCUAAUACAUGCAAGUAGAACGCUGAAGGAGGAGCUUGCUUCUCUGGAUGAGUUGCGAACGGGUGAGUAACGCGUAGGUAACCUGCCUGGUAGCGGGGGAUAACUAUUGGAAACGAUAGCUAAUACCGCAUAAUAGCAGUUGUUGCAUGACAACUGUUUGAAAGGUGCAAUUGCACCACUACCAGAUGGACCUGCGUUGUAUUAGCUAGUUGGUGGGGUAACGGCUCACCAAGGCGACGAUACAUAGCCGACCUGAGAGGGUGAUCGGCCACACUGGGACUGAGACACGGCCCAGACUCCUACGGGAGGCAGCAGUAGGGAAUCUUCGGCAAUGGACAGAAGUCUGACCGAGCAACGCCGCGUGAGUGAAGAAGGUUUUCGGAUCGUAAAGCUCUGUUGUAAGAGAAGAACGAGUGUGAGAGUGGAAAGUUCACACUGUGACGGUAUCUUACCAGAAAGGGACGGCUAACUACGUG